rnacentral:tRNA from 2 species
AGGCCAGUAGCUCAGUUGGUAGAGCAUCGGUUUCCAAAACCGAGGGUCGGGGGUUCAAGUCCCUCCUGGCCUGCCA